rnacentral:rRNA from 1 species
GAUGAACGCUGGCGGCGUGCCUAAUACAUGCAAGUCGAGCGUACGGACGAGAAGCUUGCUUCUCUGAUGUUAGCGGCGGACGGGUGAGUAACACGUGGAUAACCUACCUAUAAGACUGGGAUAACUUCGGGAAACCGGAGCUAAUACCGGAUAAUAUUUUGAACCGCAUGGUUCAAAAGUGAAAGACGGUCUUGCUGUCACUUAUAGAUGGAUCCGCGCUGCAUUAGCUAGUUGGUAAGGUAACGGCUUACCAAGGCAACGAUGCAUAGCCGACCUGAGAGGGUGAUCGGCCACACUGGAACUGAGACACGGUCCAGACUCCUACGGGAGGCAGCAGUAGGGAAUCUUCCGCAAUGGGCGAAAGCCUGACGGAGCAACGCCGCGUGAGUGAUGAAGGUCUUCGGAUCGUAAAACUCUGUUAUUAGGGAAGACCAUAUGUGUAAGUAACUGUGCACAUCUUGACGGUACCUAAUCAGAAAGCCACGGCUAACUACGUG